rnacentral:rRNA from 1 species
GAUGAACGCUGGCGGCGUGCCUAAUACAUGCAAGUCGAGCGAACGGACGAGAAGCUUGCUUUUCUGAUGUUAGCGGCGGACGGGUGAGUAACACGUGGAUAACCUACCUAUAAGACUGGGAUAACUUCGGGAAACCGGAGCUAAUAUCGGAUAAUAUUUUGAACCGCAUGGUUCAAAAGUGAAAGACGGUCUUGCUGUCACUUAUAGAUGGAUCCGCGCUGCAUUAGCUAGUUGGUAAGGUAACGGCUUACCAAGGCAACGAUGCAUAGCCGACCUGAGAGGAUGAGAGGCCACACGGGAACUGAGACACGGUACAGACUCCUGCGGGAGGCAGCAGGGGGGGAUAUGGGAAAAGGGGCGAAAGCAGGAAGAAGCAAGACAGAGAGGGAGAAGAAGGCUUUGGGUGUGUAAAGACUUUUUGUGGGGAAAGAAAAGAAGGAGAAUAAGACCCAGCUGUCCGGACGGUAAAAAAAGAAAAAGCAACGGCUAACUUCGUG